rnacentral:rRNA from 1 species
AUUGAACGCUGGCGGCAUGCCUUACACAUGCAAGUCGAACGGCAGCACGGGAGCAAUCCUGGUGGCGAGUGGCGAACGGGUGAGUAAUAUAUCGGAACGUGCCCAGUCGUGGGGGAUAACGCAGCGAAAGCUGUGCUAAUACCGCAUACGAUCUAUGGAUGAAAGCGGGGGAUCGCAAGACCUCGCGCGAUUGGAGCGGCCGAUAUCAGAUUAGUUAGUUGGUGGGUAAAGCCACCAAGGCGACGAUCUGUAGCUGGUCUGAGAGGACGACCAGCCACACUGGGACUGAGACACGGUCCAGACUCCUACGGGAGGCAGCAGUGGGGAAUUUCCGCAAUGGCGAAAGCCUGACGGAGCAAUCUCGCGUGAGGGAUGACGGCCUAUGGGUUGUAAACCUCUUUUACCCGAGAUGAUAAUGACAGUAUCGGGAGAAUAAGCUCCGGCUAACUCCGUGCCAGCAGCCGCGGU